rnacentral:rRNA from 1 species
GAUGAACGCUGGCGGCGUGCCUAAUACAUGCAAGUCGAGCGAACAGACGAGGAGCUUGCUCCUCUGACGUUAGCGGCGGACGGGUGAGUAACACGUGGAUAACCUACCUAUAAGACUGGGAUAACUUCGGGAAACCGGAGCUAAUACCGGAUAAUAUAUUGAACCGCAUGGUUCAAUAGUGAAAGACGGUUUUGCUGUCACUUAUAGAUGGAUCCGCGCCGCAUUAGCUAGUUGGUAAGGUAACGGCUUACCAAGGCAACGAUGCGUAGCCGACCUGAGAGGGUGAUCGGCCACACUGGAACUGAGACACGGUCCAGACUCCUACGGGAGGCAGCAGUAGGGAAUCUUCCGCAAUGGGCGAAAGCCUGACGGAGCAACGCCGCGUGAAUGAUGAAGGUCUUCGGAUCGUAAAACUCUGUUAUUAGGGAAGAACAAAUGUGUAAGUAACUAUGCACGUCUUGACGGUACCUAAUCAGAAAGCCACGACUAACUACGUG